rnacentral:rRNA from 1 species
AGAGUUUGAUCCUGGCUCAGGAUGAAUGCUAGCGACAGGCUUAACACAUGCAAGUCGAGGGGCAGCGGGGGCGUAGCAAUAUGCCUGCCGGCGACCGGCGCACGGGUGAGUAACACGUAUGUAACCUGCCCUAUGCAGGGGGAUAACCCGGAGAAAUCCGGCCUAAUACCGCGUAACACCUUAGGGGAGCAUUCUCUUGAGGUUAAAGGAGAGAUCCGGCAUAGGAUGGACAUGCGUCGCAUUAGGUAGACGGCGGGGUAACGGCCCACCGUGCCGACGAUGCGUAGGGGUUCUGAGAGGAAGGCCCCCCACACUGGUACGGAGACACGGACCAGACUCCUACGGGAGGCAGCAGUGAGGAAUAUUGGUCAAUGGCCGAGAGGCUGAACCAGCCAAGUCGCGUGAGGGAAGAAUGUCCUAAGGAUUGUAAACCUCUUUUGUCGGGGAGCAAAAAGGCUCGGCGGAGUCGUAUUGAGAGUACCCGAAGAAAAAGCAUCGGCUAACUCCGUGCCAGCAGCCGCGGUAAUACGGAGGAUGCGAGCGUUAUCCGGAUUUAUUGGGUUUAAAGGGUGCGCAGGCGGCGUGUCAAGCAAGCGGUAAAAUAGCGGGGCUCAACCCCGUCGAGCCGUUUGAACUGGCGCGCUUGAGUUCAGGCGAGGUAGGCGGAAUUCGUGGUGUAGCGGUGAAAUGCAUAGAUAUCACGAAGAACUCCGAUUGCGAAGGCAGCUUACCAGUCUGCGACUGACGCUCAGGCACGAAAGUGUGGGUAUCGAACAGGAUUAGAUACCCUGGUAGUCCACACAGUAAACGAUGAGCGCUAGGUGUCCGGGUCGCAUGAGACUUGGGUGCCCGAGCGAAAGCGUUAAGCGCUCCACCUGGGGAGUACGCCGGCAACGGUGAAACUCAAAGGAAUUGACGGGGGCCCGCACAAGCGGAGGAACAUGUGGUUUAAUUCGAUGAUACGCGAGGAACCUUACCCGGGCUCAAACGACUCAGGAAUAUAUUGGAAACGAUGUAGCCAGCAAUGGUCUGAGUCGAGGUGCUGCAUGGUUGUCGUCAGCUCGUGCCGUGAGGUGUCGGCUUAAGUGCCAUAACGAGCACAACCCCUACCGCCAGUUGCCAACGGGUAAAGCCGGGAACUCUGGCGGGACUGCCGGCGCAAGCUGUGAGGAAGGCGGGGAUGACGUCAAAUCAGCACGGCCCUUACGUCCGGGGCGACACACGUGUUACAAUGGCAGGUACAGCGGGAAGCCACCUGGUGACAGGGAGCGGAACCCGAAAGCCUGUCUCAGUUCGGAUUGGAGUCUGCAACUCGACUCCAUGAAGCUGGAUUCGCUAGUAAUCGCGCAUCAGCCAUGGCGCGGUGAAUACGUUCCCGGGCCUCGUACAAACCGCCCGUCA